AUUGAACGCUGGCGGCAGGCCUAACACAUGCCAGUCGAGCGGAUGAAGGGAGCUUGCUCCUGGAUUCAGCGGCGGACGGGUGAGUAAUGCCUAGGAAUCUGCCUGGCAGUGGGGGCUAACGUCCGGAAACGGGCGCUAAUACCGCAUACGUGCUGAGGGAGAAAGUGGGGGAUCUUCGGACCUCACGCUAUCAGAUGAGCCUAGGUCGGAUUAGCUAGUUGGUGGGGUAAAGGCCUACCAAGGCGACGAUCCGCAACUGGUCUGAGAGGAUGAUCAGUCACACUGGAACUGAGACACGGUCCAGACUCCUACGGGAGGCAGCAGUGGGGAAUAUUGGACAAUGGGCGAAAGCCUGAUCCAGCCAUGCCGCGUGUGUGAAGAAGGUCUUCGGAUUGUAAAGCACUUUUAGUUGGGAGGAAGGGCAGUAAGUUAAUACCUUGCUGUUUUGACGUUACCAACAGAAUAAGCACCGGCUAACUUCGUG
rnacentral:rRNA from 1 species